rnacentral:rRNA from 1 species
AGUCGAACGGAGAGCAUUCCUUCGGGGAUGCUUCUUAGUGGCGAACGGGUGAGUAACGCGUGAGCAACCUGCCUUUCAGUGGGGGACAACAGUUGGAAACGACUGCUAAUACCGCAUAAUGUUUCAUUUGGGCAUCCUUAUGAAACCAAAGAUUUAUUGCUGAAAGAUGGGCUCGCGUCUGAUUAGCUGGUUGGCGGGGUAACGGCCCACCAAGGCGACGAUCAGUAGCCGGACUGAGAGGUCGAUCGGCCACAUUGGGACUGAGAUACGGCCCAGACUCCUACGGGAGGCAGCAGUGGGGAAUAUUGGGCAAUGGGCGAAAGCCUGACCCAGCAACGCCGCGUGAGGGAAGAAGGUUCUCGGAUUGUAAACCUCUUUUACCAGGGAAGAAGAAAGUGACGGUACCUGGAGAAAAAGCCACGGCUAACUACGUGCCAGCAGCCGCGGUAAUACGUAGGUAGGCAAGCGUUGUCCGGAUUUACUGGGUGUAAAGGGCGUGUAGGCGGGAAGGCAGGUCAGAUGUGAAAUGUCGGGGCUCAAACCCCGGAACUGCAUUUGAAACCACUUUUACUUGAGUAUCGGAGAGGCAAGGCGGAAUUCCUAGUGUAGCGGUGAAAUGCAUAGAUAUUAGGAAGAACACCAGUGGCGAAGGCGGCCUGCUGGACGACAACUGACGCUGAGGCGCGAAAGCGUGGGGAGCAAACAGGAUUAGAUACCCUGGUAGUCCACGCCGUAAACGAUGGAUACUAGGUGUGGGGAGUAUUGAUCCUCUCCGCGCCGCCGUUAACACAGUAAGUAUCCCACCUGGGGAGUACGACCGCAAGGUUGAAACUCAAAGGAAUUGACGGGGGUCCGCACAAGCAGUGGAUUAUGUGGUUUAAUCCGACGCAACGCGAAGAACCUUACCAGGGCUUGACAUCCUACUAACGAAGGAGAGAUGCAUUAGGUGCCCUUCGGGAAAG